rnacentral:lncRNA from 1 species
UGCAGUUGGGACACCGGACUAUACUGUGGUGGUGCCGGGUGAUACUGUGGAGGAGUAGGGUCGUACUAGGGUGGCUCAGGAUCCUCCCACUGGAGGGGUGGCUUAAACUAUGGCAGCGGAUAAGGGUCAAGUAGCUCCCCCCUUUCUUUCCGGUCCUGAUGGGCAGUAAUGAGUCUCUCCAGCAUUUCAAAAAGUCUAUCAACAUCCUCUUGAAGUGAACCUUCCCGGGCUGCUCGGUUUAGUGGGGGUCUCCCUCUCCUUAUCUAUCUAUACUUGCAUUUCACAAGGAAUGGUUUAGUGAUAAUUUAUUAUUUUUGGUGUUU